rnacentral:sRNA from 1 species
UUUGGCUCAACGAAGGCAACCUUAUUUCUAGACAAUCCCCCUUCUCCUCUAGAAUAUCCAUACCAGAUUUCCUCUAUCUCUAGAAUACUACUGAGAACACUAACUACUUGUAAAGGGCGGUCAAGAGGCUUCAAGAGUUUUGAGAUAUUUCUUGGCGGCUUCGGGAUCACGAUCUUUCGGCUCAACUCGUACUAAAGAAUGUAUGAGUCGUGCAAAUGCAUGGCAAUAUUCUGGCUCAUCUUUCAGCUGGCUCAUCGAAAGAUGAGACUCAAUGAAUGAAAGCUGUGCUUCGUGGUUGGCGGCUGUGUGACAAUUGAGGUCAGUCCCAAUGGAUUUUCACACAGAAACAGGAAGAACAGGUAUUAAACCGGGUGUGGGGGGGCAUACCAAGAUAAUCUGUUAGAUCGUUUUUCAUGUCAAAUAGAUGAGAGUCGGUUGUUGCAUACGCUAACUAGAUAAAGUUAGACAUGACUGGGAAAUGGAGAAAAAUUCACUUAGAUAUGAUCACAACUAAUGGGAUAUAUUAGCCUACCACACAGGCUAGACUCCAAAGGUCAGACUUCACAGUUGCAGUAUUUGCACUGGUACGCUCCAGCUCUGGGGCGCUGUAAUUUUCUGUCCCGAGGACAUUUGAUUUUGAAGGCGUGUCAAACCCUUUUUCAAGCACUUGUUAGUACAACUAUUCUACAUUGGUUGGGUCAGAGGAGCUGAAACAAUAGGCAAAGGAUAUUCCUAUCAGAUAUUCAAUUGGAAUAAUGGUGACAAACCUUUACCAAAAUCAAUUAUAUCAACCAGCGACAUAUCUUGGACAUUCGUUUUCAGAGGAGUCCCAUAACGG